AUGCCAGCCAAUGAGCCUGCUCACCUGAAAGUGUUUCUGCAGAAAUGUAGAGAAAGCCGGCAAUAGUAAUGCCAUGUUAUGAGCCUUAAAGACAUUGAAGCCAUUAAGGUCCCUGAAAAGGGCUAUUAAA